rnacentral:lncRNA from 1 species
GUUUUAACGAGAGAGAGCGAUGGAGGGACGAUCGUGAGCGAUUGGGUUUCUGAGAGAGAGCGAUGAGGAAGGAUUCGCAGCAUGAGGGCGAUGAGGGAGUGUUACUGUUGAUACCAUUUUCUUUCUUCCCUUUUAUUUCAUUUUUUGAAAAAGAAAUAACAUUUAAGCCACUUAAAAAAAAACCAUUAAAAAAAAUUUAAUACUUUAGUUUUUCUUUGCACUUUUUAUUAAUUAGUUUUAUGCUUCCAAUCCAUCAGAAACCCAACAGCCAUGCGGCUGGGUUUAAUUACCAGUAGACCAACAGUUUUCUUUUAUUUUAGUUUUUAUUUUAAUCCUUUUUUUUAAUUUAUAUUAGUUUAUACAUUUAAGUUAGCAUUAAAAUAUCAGUUAGUUAGUAAGUGGUCUGGUGGAGGGGAGUGGCUUCUAGAUCUUU